UUCGAAUUUUUGUUUUCCGUCGGGGUUUCGGUCUGGUUUUUCACUCAUGUGCGGCUACUGCAAUUGAAAGACUGUCACUCUUUAAGGUGUGCAUCUACUUACCAGAGCUUGUGCAUGACAGAUACCCCGGGACCAUCCAGUUAGGACCGUUGCAUUCAGGAGCUGCUUAAGGAUAUUUUUUUUAAUGUUUUGAGUCUGCCUUCCUUUUAUGUUGUCUUUUACUUUCUAGUCCUUUCUAAUAGUACUGAGUCUUUUAGGUGGUGUCAGAAUCUAUCAUAGUCUAGGUAAGUUUGUCGAGUCGCUUAUUAUCGUAUUUCCGAUUCUGUAUUCAAAAAAAAAUUGUAAAUGAAUAAUCCAAAAAGAUUUUUAUUUUUUA